rnacentral:lncRNA from 1 species
CCUGGCCUCCAUGACCCGAACCCAGACGGCAGCACGGGCCAUGCCUCACCUUGGGAUCUCUCCUGCCACCACCGCCAGAGGAGGGGUCUCGGCCCCACGCAGCCUGGCCUGGCCUUCGGCUUCCACCCUACAAGGGACCCAAGAGACAAGGUGACACCCACAGUGAGACGCCAUCGACUGGGCUCCUCGGGCGGUCGGGGGGCCUCUAGGACCCGUCCCCUGGCUUUCGGUCUCUCUGGGCCGCGGAGGACCAGCUGGGCCCCUGUGCAGGACGUCCAAGAGACCUUCCUAGCCAGAGCUGUCCCAUCCCUGGGACGCCAGAGCCCUUCUGGACUGCUGGCCUCGCCCGCAUCUGCCGCCCACCCUCCACCAGCCCCUCGCACUGCCCUGCCCAGCCCAGCCCCGACAAGCCCUGGGAUGCUGCUCACACUGGCCUUCUGGAUCCAGAGACAACGCUGCCAUCCUCGCCUGCUCAUCCAGGAAGGAGCCUG